AUUAUUUUUCUUCCUUUUGUUUCUAUCCUGAGAAAUGCCUGGGAGCCAUUCAUAAGACCACAAGGAGCAGGUCUAGAUUAAGCACCCACCGCAAAAGAAACCUCAAAUCUACCUAGGAGACAGCAGAGUGUGUCUACAGGGGAAAGUUCAGAUGGAAACAGCUCACACAGUUAACACAGAAGACACAGGAAAAGAAAGAGUAGAAAAGCAAACUGUGAACAGAGAAGAAAAAAAAAGAAAGAAAUGAACUUUCUGAAAUCCCUUGAAUUGAAGCUAACAUACUGAGAUGCUGCCUGUUCAUUGCUAUCGUCUGCAUCUUGAGAGCUGCACACAACAGCAGAGAAAUUUGUUGCCUGGGUUAGGCUAACUGAAGAGGUGUUCAGAAAACACCAAAUAUGGCAAAACAAGAGGCAGAAGAAAAGUUAUAGACAGAGCCAUGAAGAAUGGCUUGUUUCACAGAGACCUGCGAGAGAAGCAGCUGAAUUCCACAGAUCAUUCCAGAAGCAAAUAGAGGCUUUUUUGGAGAGUCAAGUCUUGCAAAGUCCACACCACCCAGAUGACCAUUUGAGUACUACUUUUUAAAGCUGAGACUACCUAGGUAAUACUACCAGAGAUACCGAGCUUGGGUGUACUUGCAGAAAAAACUAAGACAAAUAAGGAAAAGGUAAUUACGGGCAGUCAUUAUCACAUCACACUUUAACUCAGAUGUCCAUAAUUCUAUAAUUGCUCCUGUGACA